rnacentral:tRNA from 1 species
UAGCCUGGAAGGGUAUACCCAAUAAGUUGCAAACUUAUUAAAGCGCAAGCCCAAGCUAU